rnacentral:lncRNA from 1 species
UUUUUUUUUUAUAAUUUUUUUCCUCUGUGCGUGUUAAAUUCAAAUAUUAUUGUCUUGUCUUGUUUCUUUAUGCGAUGAUGGGUUUUUCUAAGAAUUUAGAGAAUCAGCUGAUAAAUAUGUAAGAUGAAAUGCUUGUUUGCGUCAAACAUUACAUGCUUUGCUUCUGGGGAUUCUUCCAGAUCUUUCUGGGGUUUUAAUAAUUUGAGCUUGAUUUACCUACCCUUGAUUUUCCUCAUAAGAGGUCUCUCUUCUUGAAUUUAUAUUUAUAUUUUGGGUUUAUCUGAUAUUUUGUUAUACUGAAUUAAUUCUCUUGUAUUCAUUUGGUAAGAGCUACUCAAGUCUUUUUCUUUAUCUCUCUUUUUCUUGAAAUUAAUUUUUUUUUUUCUUGCGGGGAUCUGCCAACAUGCUACAAUUUUUUUUUUUUUCUGUUUUGUGGAAAUUGUACUUGCUUUAAGAUGAAGAUUCUUGUUUAUAGAUGGAAAAUUUCCCCAUUUUCUUAUUUAUUUCUUUUAGUUUAGGCUUUUUUUUUGGUCAAAUUUUUAGCUGGAGAUUGAUUAUCACUGGGUGAUCUGUGAUUUUCUGAUUGAUAGAUCUUGAAAUAUAUCACUUUUUACCGGACCCAUAAGUGGUUUUGUUUUUCCAAGAGACAUUCAGUUACCUUCCACUCCCUUACACAAGAGAUUGUGGAAUUUGGUAUUUCUAUUGUUCAUCAGUUCUUAGAUCUGAAGACAUUUGCAAAUUUUCAUGUCACUUCUUUCUGUGUGAAUUCAAGAUUGGAACGGUGUUUGCUUUACUUAUUAAUGCGUUUAUGCCUUGAUUGUGACAGAGAUUACAAUAAAGGGGGUGUUGCUGGAGGAGGGGAAAGAGAAAGAAUGGAGGAAGCAAUGGCAGCCCAAUAUUGGUGUCACAUGUGUUCUCAAAUGGUCAAUCCCAUUAUGGAAGCUGAGAUUAAAUGCC